rnacentral:rRNA from 1 species
ACGGGAGGCAGCAGUGAGGAAUAUUGGUCAAUGGGCGGAAGCCUGAACCAGCCAAGUCGCGUGAAGGAUGAAGGUAUUAUGUAUUGUAAACUUCUUUAGCAGCAGAGUAAUAAGGGGGUCGAGACCUCCGAUGCAAGUAUGCUGAGAAUAAGGAUCGGCUAACUCCGUGCCAGCAGCCGCGGUAAUACGGAGGAUCCGAGCGUUAUCCGGAUUUAUUGGGUUUAAAGGGUGCGCAGGCGGCCUGUUAAGUCAGCGGUUAAAUCGUGGAGCUCAACUCCAUCGCGCCGUUGAUACUGAUGGGCUUGAUUGCGGUUGAGGUUGGCGGAAUUCGCCGUGUAGCGGUGAAAUGCAUAGAUAUGGCGAAGAACUCCGAUUGCGAAGGCAGCUGACUGUAGCGUAACUGACGCUGAAGCUCGAAGGUGCGGGUAUCGAACAGGAUUAGAUACCCUGGUA